rnacentral:rRNA from 1 species
CCUACGGGGUGCAGCAGUGAGGAAUAUUGGUCAAUGGGCGUAAGCCUGAACCAGCCAAGUCGCGUGAGGGAUGAAGGUUCUAUGGAUCGUAAACCUCUUUUAUAAGGGAAUAAAGUGCGGGACGUGUCCCGUUUUGUAUGUACCUUAUGAAUAAGGAUCGGCUAACUCCGUGCCAGCAGCCGCGGUAAUACGGAGGAUCCGAGCGUUAUCCGGAUUUAUUGGGUUUAAAGGGUGCGUAGGCGGCCUUGUAAGUCAGCGGUGAAAGUCUGUGGCUCAACCAUAGAAUUGCCGUUGAAACUGGGAGGCUUGAGUAUGUUUGAGGCAGGCGGAAUGCGUGGUGGAGCGGUGAAAUGCUUAGAUAUCACGCAGAACCCCGAUUGCGAAGGCAGCUUGCCAAGCCAUGACUGACGCUGAUGCACGAAAGCGUGGGGAUCAAACAGGAUUAGAUACCCUUGUAGUC